AUAAGGAGUCGGACCUGCCCAGUGAAGUAUUUAAACGGCCGCGGUACUCUGACCGUGCAAAGGUAGCAUAAUCAUUUGCCCUAUAAUUGAGGGCUAGUAUGAAUGGUUUGACAAGAAUAAAGCUGUCUCCGUGUAAUUAUAUAGAAUUUUAUUUUUAGGUGAAGAAGCCUAAAUUUUAUUAAAAGACAAGAAGACCCUAUCGAGCUUUAGAGAAAUUAAUAAAGUAAUAGUAUAUAUUAAUUAAAAUAAAUUUUAUUAAAGAUUUUGGUUGGGGCGACAAAGGAACAAUUAAAGCUUCUUUUUAAAUAAAGAAACCUACAAGUAUUGAUCCAGAAUAAUUCUGAUUAAAGAAAUUAGUUACCGUAGGGAUAACAGCAUUAUCUUUUUUGAGAGCUCAUAUCGAAAAAAAGGUUUGUGACCUCGAUGUUGGACCAGGAUAUCCUGAAGAUGCAGAAGUCUUUAAAGGUUGGUCUGUUCGACCAUUAAAAUCCU
rnacentral:rRNA from 1 species